rnacentral:rRNA from 1 species
UUGAGCGAUCUUCUUCGGAAGAGAGCGGCGGACGGGUGAGUAACGCGUGGGUAACCUGCCCUGUACACACGGAUAACAUACCGAAAGGUAUGCUAAUACGGGAUAACAUAAGAAAUUCGCAUGUUUUUCUUAUCAAAGCUCCGGCGGUACAGGAUGGACCCGCGUCUGAUUAGCUAGUUGGUGAGGUAACGGCUCACCAAGGCGACGAUCAGUAGCCGACCUGAGAGGGUGAUCGGCCACAUUGGAACUGAGACACGGUCCAAACUCCUACGGGAGGCAGCAGUGGGGAAUAUUGCACAAUGGGCGAAAGCCUGAUGCAGCAACGCCGCGUGAGCGAUGAAGGCCUUCGGGUCGUAAAGCUCUGUCCUCAAGGAAGAUAAUGACGGUACUUGAGGAGGAAGCCCCGGCUAACUACGUGCCAGCAGCCGCGGUAAUACGUAGGGGGCUAGCGUUAUCCGGAUUUACUGGGCGUAAAGGGUGCGUAGGCGGUCCUUUAAGUCAGGAGUGAAAGGCUACGGCUCAACCGUAGUAAGCUCUUGAAACUGGAGGACUUGAGUGCAGGAGAGGAGAGUGGAAUUCCUAGUGUAGCGGUGAAAUGCGUAGAUAUUAGGAGGAACACCAGUAGCGAAGGCGGCUCUCUGGACUGUAACUGACGCUGAGGCACGAAAGUGUGGGGAGCAAACAGGAUUAGAUACCCUGGUAGUCCACGCCGUAAACGAUGAGUACUAGCUGUCGGAGGUUACCCCCUUCGGUGGCGCAGCUAACGCAUUAAGUACUCCGCCUGGGGAGUACGCUCGCAAGAGUGAAACUCAAAGGAAUUGACGGGGACCCGCACAAGUAGCGGAGCAUGUGGUUUAAUUCGAAGCAACGCGAAGAACCUUACCUAUGCUUGAC